rnacentral:rRNA from 1 species
AACGAACGCUGGCGGCAGGCUUAACACAUGCAAGUCGAACGCCCCGCAAGGGGAGUGGCAGACGGGUGAGUAACGCGUGGGAACGUACCUUUCAGUUCGGAAUAACUCAGGGAAACUUGUGCUAAUACCGGAUACGCCCGUAAGGGGAAAGAUUUAUCGCUGAAAGAUCGGCCCGCGUUGGAUUAGCUAGUUGGUGGGGUAAUGGCCUACAAAGGCGACGAUCCAUAGCUGGUCUGAGAGGAUGAUCAGCCACACUGGUACUGAGACACGGCCCAGACUCCUACGGGAGGCAGCAGUGGGGAAUAUUGGACAAUGGGCGAAAGCCUGAUCCAGCCAUGCCGCGUGAGUGAUGGAGGCCCUAGGGUUGUAAAGCUCUUUCACCGAUGAAGAUAAUGACGGUAGUCGGAGAAGAAGCCCCGGCUAACUUCGUGCCAGCCGCCGCAGUAA